CCCAUCUUCUCCUGCUUCCGGCCCUGGACCGGUUCCCCAGUCCUCUGUCCUCUGCUCCGAGCCCGCCACCCUCUCCCUGCCUUCUGAGCCUCGGGUCUCUUCGUGCGUCUGGCUCUCUUCUUUCUCGCCCUCCACACUCUGCUGGCAUCAGGCAAGCUGGAUCAUGACAACUCACUUUUCCAAGGAAAUAAUCCAUUCCUCAAGGGGCAACUGAAUCGGAAAGUGCUCUGGCCCCAAACCCUAUCUCCAAUGUAUGCCUGUAGUUAUAGCUGCUUUGAAUGAUCUGUCUGCUUAAUAUAACAUCUGGGCCAGCUCACAAUGAAGAAGAAGAAAAUGAGACUCAGCAAGGCACUGCUUCAAGGUUAAGAAAUGGGGGUUUUGGCUGGCUUCUCCAUAUUAGUGAUGGCUUAUACUAAGGAGAGCACUAAAGGUUCUGAACUGCAGAAGGUCUGUUUGGAUGUGCAUAUAUUCCUUCUGAGGGAAAGCAUGAAGAGUAGCCUCAUUCUGACAGAGCACCAAUCUGAUCAUCAUACUGAAUGAAGGAAUGAACACAUGCUCUUGGCAGUGAAAGCACACAGUCCUAACCACUGGACCACCAGGAAACUCCCUGUAUUUCUCUUUUCACUCAAGAGCUUUAAGAGAGUUUUAUGGGCCCAGCAUGCUUCCUUUGUGCAACUCUGCCAUUCUUAACAGAGUUUUAAAAUUUUCUGAUGCAAAGACUUUUAGAAAAAUGUUUACUUUCAUUGUACUAUGAUAAAAAAAGAAUGCCAGCUGUGUUGUUUCUAUUUUAUUUAAUUUGAUGAUACUUUC